rnacentral:rRNA from 1 species
UACGUAGGGGGCAAGCGUUGUCCGGAUUUACUGGGCGUAAAGAGCGUGUAGGCGGCUAAGCAGGUCCGUUGUGAAUCCUGGAGCUCAACUCCAGAACUGCCUUCGAUACUGGCGACCUUGAGUCCGGGAGAGGUGAGUGGAACUCCGAGUGUAGAGGUGAAAUUCGUAGAUAUUCGGAAGAACACCAGUGGCGAAGGCGGCUCAGCUGGCCCGGUACUGACGCUGAGGUGCGAAAGGCGUGGGGAGCAAACAGG